AGCUCGGCAGGGAGUGAGGGAGCGGGCAGGGGACGGCGGCGUUGCCGGCUGCGGUCACAUCCUCAGGGUGACACCUCUUCCAGGAGGUUGCUCCAACAGCAGCAAACAGGGAUCAGUGAUUCCUUGGAAUUGUGCCUACAGACUGCAAGACCCUGCAUCUGAGGUUAGCACCAUGGAUUCAUCCUGAAGGAAAUCCUGGAGGUCUUAAAA